rnacentral:rRNA from 1 species
UACGUAGGUGGCAAGCGUUGUCCGGAUUUAUUGGGUUUAAAGGGUGCGUAGGCGGCUUUGUAAGUCAGUGGUGAAAUAUGGCAGCUCAACUGUCAAGGUGCCAUUGAUACUGCGGAGCUUUGAGUACAGAUGAGGUAGGCGGAAUUGACGGUGUAGCGGUGAAAUGCUUAGAUAUCGUCAAGAACACCUAUAGCGAAGGCAGCUUACUAGGCUGUAACUGACGCUGAGGCACGAAAAGUGUGGGGGAUCAAAACAGG